rnacentral:rRNA from 1 species
GAGUUUGAUCCCUGGCUCAGGACGAACGCUGGCGGCGUGCUUAACACAUGCAAGUCGAACGAAGAGCGAUGGAAGCUUGCUUCUAUCAAUCUUAGUGGCGAACGGGUGAGUAACGCGUAAUCAACCUGCCCUUCAGAGGGGGACAACAGUUGGAAACGACUGCUAAUACCGCAUACGAUCUAACCUCGGCAUCGAGGAUAGAUGAAAGGUGGCCUCUACAUGUAAGCUAUCACUGAAGGAGGGGAUUGCGUCUGAUUAGCUAGUUGGAGGGGUAACGGCCCACCAAGGCGACGAUCAGUAGCCGGUCUGAGAGGAUGAACGGCCACAUUGGGACUGAGACACGGCCCAGACUCCUACGGGAGGCAGCAGUGGGGAAUCUUCCGCAAUGGACGAAAGUCUGACGGAGCAACGCCGCGUGAGUGAUGACGGCCUUCGGGUUGUAAAGCUCUGUUAAUCGGGACGAAAGGCCUUCUUGCGAAUAGUUAGAAGGAUUGACGGUACCGGAAUAGAAAGCCACGGCUAACUACGUGCCAGCAGCCGCGGUAAUACGUAGGUGGCAAGCGUUGUCCGGAAUUAUUGGGCGUAAAGCGCGCGCAGGCGGAUAGGUCAGUCUGUCUUAAAAGUUCGGGGCUUAACCCCGUGAUGGGAUGGAAACUGCCAAUCUAGAGUAUCGGAGAGGAAAGUGGAAUUCCUAGUGUAGCGGUGAAAUGCGUAGAUAUUAGGAAGAACACCAGUGGCGAAGGCGACUUUCUGGACGAAAACUGACGCUGAGGCGCGAAAGCCAGGGGAGCGAACGGGAUUAGAUACCCCGGUAGCCCUGGCCGUAAACGAUGGGUACUAGGUGUAGGAGGUAUCGACCCCUUCUGUGCCGGAGUUAACGCAAUAAGUACCCCGCCUGGGGAGUACGACCGCAAGGUUGAAACUCAAAGGAAUUGACGGGGGCCCGCACAAGCGGUGGAGUAUGUGGUUUAAUUCGACGCAACGCGAAGAACCUUACCAGGUCUUGACAUUGAUGGACAGAACCAGAGAUGGUUCCUCUUCUUCGGAAGCCAGAAAACAGGUGGUGCACGGUUGUCGUCAGCUCGUGUCGUGAGAUGUUGGGUUAAGUCCCGCAACGAGCGCAACCCCUAUCUUAUGUUGCCAGCACGUAAAGGUGGGAACUCAUGAGAGACUGCCGCAGACAAUGCGGAGGAAGGCGGGGAUGACGUCAAAUCAUCAUGCCCCUUAUGACCUGGGCUACACACGUACUACAAUGGGAGUUAAUAGACGGAAGCGAGAAUCGCGAGAUGGAGCAAACCCGAGAAACGCUCUCUCAGUUCGGAAUCGUAGGCUGCGAACUCGCCUACGUGAAGUUCGGAAUCGCUAGUAAUCGCGGGUCGGCGUACUGCGGUGAAUACGUUCCCGGGCC